rnacentral:rRNA from 1 species
UACAGAGGUGGCAAGCGUUGUUCGGAUUUACUGGGCGUAAAGCGCACGUAGGCGGCUUUGUAAGUUAGAGGUGAAAGCCCGGGGCUCAACUCCGGAAUUGCCUUUAAGACUGCAUCGCUUGAACGUCGGAGAGGUGAGUGGAAUUCCGAGUGUAGAGGUGAAAUUCGUAGAUAUUCGGAAGAACACCAGUGGCGAAGGCGGCUCACUGGACGACUGUUGACGCUGAGGUGCGAAAGCGUGGGGAGCAAACAGG